rnacentral:lncRNA from 1 species
CACCUAGGGCCCUUUUUUAUAAUGACAUUCAUAUUCAUUAAAGCUAAUCUCUCUCACCAGGGCAACAUGGAAAACGGUUGUGCAAAUAAGAGAGAGUGGUGGAGUAAGUGUUUUGUUCCAAGUAUGCAGCUAGCACAAAAACUAGAUUUGGUCACCUCCAGGAACAGAACGCCAAGGCCCUGAACCCCCGCGGGCUGCGGGCCAGGCGACGAUGUGGUUAACAUCUUGUCUCUGGUCUUGGAACGUGGCCCUCCAGGAACGCAGCCGGCUGGCCCUUGUAACAGGUGGUCCCAGCCCAGGCGGGGCGGGAAGGUGGAGAAACUAUAAGCUCCUGGGGCAUCACCGGCGAGGCCCGCUAGGAAAGGUGGGAGAGGCUUCGGGCAGAUGGAGGCAGGGAAGGACCGAAGGGCAGCCCUCACGAAUUUGGUUUAGAAGCUACGACGCUUAAAACCUUGCCUGUCUCCUCCAUCUUUUCUAUUUCUUGCUAUUCGUUGAGCUUCCAACAUUUGACUCCUACUCCACUGGGCGGUUUGUUUUUGCUUCUCUCCCUCUCCGUCAGUGAGGAACGCAGGCUGAUUUCAGCGAGCACCCAAGUGUUUGAAUUCACACCUGCCAUCUGUUUGCUUAGUCGCCGAGGAACCAUCCUUCCCUAAACGGGAAAAUUCCAUUUCAUUAAUCUAAAUGGGAACUUUCCAAAUAGAAAAAGAAAACACUUAUCCAGAAAAAGAGGAAGACGCUAAGCCAGAAGCAGCAGGAGCCGUGCCAGGAGAGCAUCACGGGUCAGAUACCAAAGAGAGUCCACCUUCACCAGAACCAAGCGCGGGGCCCCGUCCUUUCAUCUGUUACAACCACAGGAGCGGAAACACAUUCCAGCCCUUCGUACAUAAUGUAUCAUUCUAUCACCCAUCUUGAAGAUUAAAAUGAUUCAGUUCUGUGAAACUUGGGUGUUUUUUGAGAAUCUUUAUAAAAUGAAAAUAUAGUAUACAUUUUAUUUUAAGUUAAAAAACUCGUAAAUUGAAAGGCUCUCCUUGUUGAAAGAAUUUGGGAAACAGGGAAGAAGGAAAGAGU